CUGGUAAUGGCCAGGGGUAAAUUUGCCCAGGAAACCAAAUAGCUACAUUGAUUGAAUGCCUUGUCUUCUUCACAGCCUUUUGUUUUCCAAGUUAAACACAUUAGCUGCAUAGAUUAAUAAUACGUACAGAGGCAGUAAAUUGAGCAGUGUGUGAUAAACGUUUACAGAUGAGACGUCACAUAUCUUGGUGCAACACUGGGGCAAACCGGAUAGUAGAAUAGGGAGUGUCCUGCUGAGAAGUGAGCACCUACGUGUUUUUAAACAUUUCGCUCAAGUAUAUUUCAAAAGCAGAAAAAAAGCUACUUGUAGCGUCAGUCUGUGCCCACGCCCACAUGAAUGACAUCCCUCGCAGGCCACGCCCCGUCUACCUGAUCGCCAGGUGCUGCUGGAGAGAAGAGAGCUGAUUUGGUGGCUUUUGGCAGGACAAGCUUGGCUUUUAACUACUCGGAGUAUAAGCGAAAUGCAGAGAAGUUCAAAUCUUCGUUCUGGUCACUGCCUCGACAGAUCCCUUGGAGAAACAGUAAUGUGUUGUAUGUAUCUGUGCUUUUCUGUAUAGUUGCGUGCAAAUCGUUUUGUAUUCUGCUUGCUUGUAAACUUCAAUGUAGCGUUUAAAUACCCAGCUGUGUUUUGACACUGUCAUUUAAAUGCAUGCUAAUUUUCAUUUCAAAACCUGUGCAUCUGUCAUAUUGGAAUGCUUUAUGUUGUAUGCAA